rnacentral:rRNA from 1 species
CCUACGGGAGGCAGCAGUAGGGAAUAUUGCGCAAUGGAGGAAACUCUGACGCAGCGACGCCGCGUGGGUGACGAAGGCUUUCGGGUCGUAAAGCCCUGUCGGAAGGGAAGAAAAACGGUAUGGCUAAUAUCCAUACCGCUUGACGGUACCUUCAGAGGAAGCACCGGCUAACUACGUGCCAGCAGCCGCGGUAAUACGUAGGGUGCUAGCGUUGUUCGGAAUCAUUGGGCGUAAAGCGCGUGUAGGUGGUUUGUUAAGUCGGGUGUGAAAUCCCUGGGCUCAACCGAGGAAGUGCAUCCGAAACUAACAAGCUAGAAGAUGGCAGAGGAAGGUGGAAUUCCAAGUGUAGAGGUGAAAUUCGUAGAUAUUUGGAGGAAUACCGGUGGCGAAGGCGGCCUUCUGGACCAUUACUUGACACUGAGACGCGAAAGCGUGGGGAGCAAACAGGAUUAGAUACCCUGGUAGUCCACGCUGUAACGAUAGGUACGUAGAUGUUGUCGAGGAAGUUAGUACCCGUCGCAGUGUCGACGCUACGCAUAAGUACCCGUCCGUCGGAGUACGGUCGCGAGAGUUAAACGUACGUAAGAAGUUAGUACGGCGUUGAGACGUUGCGACGGACGACGACGAGGGAGAGG